GGGGGUAUACCUCAGUGGGAGAGUGCCUGCUUAGAAUGCCCGAGGUCCUGGGUUCAGUCCCCAGUGCCUCCA
rfam:Camelus ferus unplaced genomic scaffold scaffold738, whole genome shotgun sequence.